UACGAAGGGGGCUAGCGUUGCUCGGAAUCACUGGGCGUAAAGCGCACGUAGGCGGGUCUUAAGUCGGAGGUGAAAUCCUGGAGCUCAACUCCAGAACUGCCUUCGAUACUGAGGAUCUCGAGUCCGGGAGAGGUGAGUGGAACUGCGAGUGUAGAGGUGAAAUUCGUAGAUAUUCGCAAGAACACCAGUGGCGAAGGCGGCUCACUGGCCCGGUACUGACGCUGAGGUGCGAAAGCGUGGGGAGCAAACAGGG
rnacentral:rRNA from 1 species